rnacentral:rRNA from 1 species
GGGCCCGCACAAGCGGCGGAGCAUGCGGAUUAAUUCGAUGCAACGCGAAGAACCUUACCUGGGUUUGACAUACACCGGAAACACCUAGAGAUAGGUGCCCUUUUAGUCGGUGUACAGGUGGUGCAUGGCUGUCGUCAGCUCGUGUCGUGAGAUGUUGGGUUAAGUCCCGCAACGAGCGCAACCCUCGUCCUAUGUUGCCAGCAAUUCGGUUGGGGACUCAUAGGAGACUGCCGGGGUCAACUCGGAGGAAGGUGGGGAUGACGUCAAGUCAUCAUGCCCCUUAUGUCCAGGGCUUCACGCAUGCUACAAUGGCCGGUACAAAGGGCUGCGAUCCCGUGAGGGUGAGCGAAUCCCAAAAAGCCGGUCUCAGUUCGGAUUGGGGUCUGCAACUCGACCCAUGAAGUCGGAGUCGCUAGUAAUCGCAGAUCAGCAACGCUG